CCUCAACUUAACACUUUCUUCCACUCCUCUAUCUUUCUACCCCCCCACCUCGGCACCAAUGGCGCAACUCCACCCAACUCAAGACUUUGACAGAGCUCUGUCUGGAUAGGAGACCAACCAUACUUGAACAAUUCCGCUACCACCAAGUCAGGACUUAUUACCAGUAACUGUCAGGUAGGGGCUACCUGCAAGGACCCUAACAAGCUUUGAACACCUCUGCACAACUCGGAAACACCUCUUGCUCUAUCA